GUGUUGUACGAAAGGAGAGGUUAGCACUCCCCUUGAUAAGGACGGACAACACAUAUACCGUCAAGGCACAGUCGCUCCGGCGACACCUGACACCAUUUGUAG
rnacentral:ncRNA from 1 species